rnacentral:rRNA from 1 species
GGGGGGGGGGGGGGGCGGGGCGGGGGGGGGCGGGGGGGGCGGAGGGGGGGGGAGCGUGCGGCGCUGAUGUUAGCGGCGGACGGGUGAGUAACAAGGGGAGAACCUACCUAUAGGACGGGGAUAACUUCGGGAAACCGGAGCUAAUACCGGAGAAUAUUUUGAACCGCGUGGUUCACAAGUGCACGACGGUAUUGCUGUCACUGAUAGAUGGGUCCGCGCUUCAGUAGCUAGUUGGUAAGGUAACGGCUUACCAAGGCAACGAUGCAUAGCCGACCUGAUAGGGUGAUCGGCCACACUGGAACUGAGACAUGGUCCAGACUCCUACGGGAGGCAGCAGUAGGGAAUCUUCCGCAAUGGGCGAAAGCCUGACGGAGCAACGCCGCGUGAGUGAUGAAGGUCUUCGGAUCGUAAAACUCUGUUAUUAGGGAAGAACAUAUGUGUAAGUAACUGUGCACAUCUUGACGGUACCUAAUCAGAAAGCCACGGCUAACUACGUG